CUUUUUUGCCGGUUCUUCCCGCUGAGGAAGUGUCGCUCAAGACGCUGGCCUAUGAACUUCCUAGCAUGGGCUGUUGUGCUGGAGAGAACGAGAGCUACGAAGAGACUACAGUGCCUCUGACUUUUUCAUAGGACAGUUGGCCGAGGAAGACAAACAUAAAGAUGAAGUGCUUAAUUCAAGGUCACACAAUGUCGGGGAUGGACCUCCAGAUUUCCUUACUGACCUGCAUUAUCUUGUGGAUACCUGAGUGAAUUCCACACCACCCAUUUUAUAGAUGAAACCACUGAGACAUGGAGCAAUUGACUGAGUAGUCACUGCCCCACCCCUGCCUGGAGCCUCACACAUGACUCGCCUCCUCUCAGUGACCACAGGUUGGUUGAGGGGUUUAACAAGGCUAAGAAGGUGAGACGUGGUCUUGUAACACAGUGGUUAAGAAUGUGACUUUGGAGCCAGCCUGCUAGGGGCUGAAUUCUGACUCAGCCAUUUACUAACUGUGUGACCUUAGGGAGGAGGACCUGGUUGAUAGAAGAAUUUAUCUCGUAGUCUUAACAUCCACUGUAAUU
rnacentral:lncRNA from 1 species